rnacentral:lncRNA from 1 species
CUUGUGAACUAGUAAGUGGUGGCUUUAAUUAAGUAUGUGCUUGUGUAAAGAUGACUCAAAUCUGUGGGGAUAACAAUCUUUAACAUGUCAUGUGCAUUGGAAAUCCCUGAGGCAAACGUUGGAAGGUUUAGGUUUUGUUUUGGUUAGUUUGUUUCGUUUUGUUUCCUUUCUUUUGUUUGUUUUGCUCGAGGACUAGCAAAAGCUAAGUGUGGGGGAAUUUGAUAGGAGCAUAUUUAUGCACCUUAGUUAGCUAGUUCUUAUGCAUUUCCAUGGUGUUUUCUUAGUUAAAGUAGUCUUUUAAGCUAGUUUUAUG